CAGUGAAAAUGUCUGGGCCCGCUCUGUUUUCUCUGCACUAGGAGCAGCUCUCCUACCACAGCCCCUCAUCCCCUGAAAAUGUUUGGCUGAGCCAAAUUCAUCUCCACCCCUUCCCUGGUCAGGAGCACUUUUCAGCUGCUGAGCCAACCAUUGUCUGCUAUGGCACUGAAACAACCUGAAACACUGACAGGUGAGAGCUUCAGAAGCUCAACAGCCCCACAUUCCCUGGCCUUACUUAUUCCUAGUCGCAUCUUCGAAACAAGUGCCAUUUCAGAGGACAUCGACACAGCAGCCACGUUCAUUGGGGCUGGGGCUGCCACAGUUGGAGUGGCUGGCUCUGGAGCUGAGAUUGGGAGCCUCAUCAUUGGUUACACUAGCAUCCGUUCUCUGAAGCAGCAGCUCUUCUCCUACGCCAUUCUGGGCUUUGCCCUCUCGGAGGCCAUGGGGUUCUUUUGCCUGAUGGUGGCCUUUCUCAUCCUCUUUGCCAUGUGA